AAACUACUCCAUCCGUCCCAAAAUUCUUGUCUUAGAUUUGUCUAGAUAUGGAUGAAUCUAAUACUAAAACAUGACUUGAUACAUCCGUAUUUAGACAAAUUUAAGACAAUAAUUUUGGGAUGGAGGGAGUACAUA
rfam:Triticum aestivum genome assembly, contig: Triticum_aestivum_CS42_TGACv1_scaffold_433344_5DL